rnacentral:rRNA from 1 species
CGCCCGUCGCUCCUACCGAUUGGGUGUGCUGGUGAAGUGUUCGGAUUGAGGCCAGUGGGCGGUACCCGCUCACUGAACUCGAGAAGUUCUCUAAACCCUCCCACCUAGAGGAAGGAGAAGUCGUAACAAGGUUUCC